AUGUACAUCUAAUAUUCCUGCCAUAGCAAAAAGUAGGAAAAGGCUAUUGUUUUCCCCAAAUCACGCCGACAACAAAAUCCCCUUUCUUUACUGUACUGUUGUCUUUACGCGGUUGAGAUUUUGGUAGGGUGGGCAGGGGAGAUCCGAGCAGGACGCAUCGUGCUGCUCGACAUCUUCAUCGCCGGCGCGGCCGGGGCGAUGGUGCUGCAGGUUGGUGGUGUGGAGGAGGCAGUGACUGACCUGACGAAGGGUGCACAGGUUCGCAGAUUUCCCAGCGAUUUGGUGUGUGCCGAUCUUCCAAGCCAUUCUGACCGAGGAGGGGACCGGGUGUUUAAGCAGCUGUUCUUGCUCCGGCCACCAGUGAGAUCGCAUCUUGUCGUCGCUGAUAAGGAAAGGCGGAUGCCGGUCGCCUGGGAGGUCACAGGUGCUGGCAGAGAGCUUUGGCGUUGCAUAGAAUGGCCUCUCGUUCCUUGUCGCUUAGGUUGAUGAAGAACGACAGAUUUCCCAUCCAAUGAGUGGUGAGAGAUCUCAUGGAGGAUGGAGUACCGGUUCAUGGAUUUCAUGGACAAAAUUGUUCUACUGGGUCAAGCUGUUGGUGCCAGGGCAUCAAUGCCAAGGUGGCAUAGGACAGAAAAUAAUUGUUGACCAAGGCAAGCUAAUGGAGAAUAACUGGAUCCUAAGGCACUGUACAUAUGGUGGACUACUGUUAUGGUCUAUUAGAGGUGUGGGGGUAACAGAGGCAGAUUCAUACGAGGAGAUAGCAAAAUAAAUGAAUAGUACCAAGAUGUGAGCAACAUGUUUGGCCAACCACUGUGUUGUUGCCCUCCUCAUCGUCGAUGUUGUUGGACUUCUACCACAUUAACAAUGGAUAUUAUUUUACCGCGCCCAAGAUUCGAGUAUUCAUCUUCAUGCCUUCCUAAUUGUUUGUACUGCUGGACUUUUACCACUGUAAGUGUUAUUGCUCUGUAUCCUUCCUAAUGCAAAUCAUCUUUGUGCUCCUUCCUAAGAUUUCUAUAUUACUCGUACUAUAAUAUUGGAAUUUUUCUCAUGGUACGCUUGAAUAGAAAAUGCAGCAUGAUAGUAGAACUGUUACCAAGAACAUAGAACUCCCAAAAGUGUAUGUCUAACUGUAUUUCAAAUAAAUACAAUAUGACAUGCUUUUCAUAGUGUUAAUGUCUCCUUAUAUUGGUUGAUCUGAAGAAAGUAUUCAGUCUAUUCUAGACUAAGGACAUAAUGCUAUUGCAGUAUAAUAAGUUUUUUUUCUUAUCCUAGUAGAUGUCAAGUACACUUACUAUAUAUAUCUUGGUAAGUAAAAUAUGUUGCCCUAUUAUUUAUCUGAUAAGCUACCGAUGCACUAAUUUUAUAGAUAACUUCCUCGCUCUCCUAGGCUUCUGUUUCCGUACUUCAUCUUCAUCUUCAAGCCUUGUAUUGUUUCGGCUGACAUCUUUUCCCUUGCUUUCUGGCAAACAUGCUCCGUGCAUUCUCCUCUGAUUCAUCUGAUAUUACAACAUAUCCCGGUCUUCUUUUCUUGUCAUCGUGGAACUCACGUGACGAUGAUGUUAUUUUGUCUUGAUGCCCAUCUUUGUUUAUUUUAGUCCCAUUACUAUCGUGUGGUUCCUAUUUCAUUGGCACCAGACACAUUGUAAUUUGGUAGUUGAAACAUUAUUAUUCUAUGACUGCAAAAUAAAUAUAAAUUUAAAAUCAAACACAUUUAUAAAAAUCUAGAAGUGUCUACAGUGGAAAAAUCAAUCACCAUUUUAUCGGUGCAUGUUCUGUGUCUUCCUUUCAUGUUUUAAGACAGUGUCCACCUCAUCAUCCAUCAAUUUCAAUGCAAUAUAUGUAAGAUGAAUUAGUUAGGGAAUUCUAGACACAAUACUUAUUUUUUGAAGAAAAAAAGUUAAAUGCACCUUUACCUCAGCUUUAUCAUUCAAGUAGAGCAUCUCAAGCCUAUCAUUGGGCACAAAUGUUCUUUUUACUACAUAAUUUUCUGUGCCAAAGAUGAUAUUACAUCCAUUCAACUUGGCAUUUCAUUUCCCAUCGAAUGAUCUCAGCAAGUUAGAGAUAGAUGUAUUAAGCAAUCUUGGAGCGUCCUUUUCAAAUAAAGUGCAGCUUGUAGUAGUUUUAUGCUCACUAAUUUGGAGUCGAAUACAAUACCUACCACACCAUUCAUGUUAGCGAAUCAUAAAUAUUAUAUAAUACUCCAGUUAUUUCUGAACUAUAAACAUACCUGAUCAUUGUUUUUCUUUUUCUGCCUGUUCCUAUAGUGUAUCCUUCAUAGAAACUCAAAGUAAUAAUCUGGGUAAACCUCUGGAGAUCCUUUUCCCUCCUGUAUGUUUGCUUUGUAUGAAAAAUAUAUUUCACUUACAUUGCUCAUUGGCGGUAUUUUUAUGGAUUCCACAACCUUGAAACUUUGAAUCCAUAAAUAGAUUGCUCUUUGAUAUGAAAGAUAGCAUGAAUUGUUUGGCCCUAUGAAUAAUGAGAUAUACUUAGUAUUUUUCAUUGAGAAGAUAGAACAAUUUAAAAAAUAGCUAUUAUAGGUCAAAUACAAAUAAGUGAUGCUAUAACUUAAUUAUAGUAAUGUACAUGAAAAUAGGUUGUUCUUAAAGAAGUUGUCAAAACUUUUUGAGAUGGAAAUAUCCAAACACACAUGGUUGUCCUAGUUUUUUUGGCGUGUGUUUGGAUUGAGGCUUUGCUCUGUUGGGCGUCGCAGCAUUGGGAGUGCAGAUUGGAUGCUUCAUUACCUGCAAUCCAUCGUGGGUGCAUAUUGUACGCUUCAGCACCUUCAAUUUGCCGACGUGACAGACGCAUAUUGAAUGCUUAAUGCUAUCAUGCUGGCUAGCAAUGGCUGCGUGUGUGUGUUUAUGCUGCUUGGGGGCUGGUCGUCGCAUAUGAUACGUGUAUUGAACAUUAUCAAAAUGAAAAUGAGAAUGGGCGCACGAGAGGAAUAUUGUGGAACAAUCCACUGGCUAACAAACUUGGCAUGGUGGAGGAUGGCCUAUCUUAUUCACCCAUCAAGGAGCUUGCUUUACUUUGACAAGGUUGUAUUGGUUGCACAUAUUUUGCAUCUGACCUCUUGCAUUACUUCUACUUUGUUACACCAUUUGCUUAGUUUAAGCAUCAUAUAUGAGUAUAUGUCAUACCUAUCCAUUUUUGUACCUAUUCCAUAUGUCGUCAUAUUGUGUUUUUCCAGUCAAAUUGUUCUUUCUAAUAGAUGUCCAAAAAGAAGAGGGUGAGUGCAGAUCCUCAAGGAGUACAAACUAGGUAUUUGAAAAAAGUAAGUGAUACAUGUUAAAUCAGAUAGAUCAGCAGCCACAGAAAACACAGUCCCAACUGUAUCACACUUCACCCCUACUCCACUGGCCAAACCCCUAUUAGAACCGCUAAGAGCCCAGCGGCAGGGAUUGUCUAUGAUAUAAAUUCAAAAUUUGAACUCCUAAAUUUUUGCAUGUGCCUUACCUUCUCUCUUGUAUGAAAACUAA